UUACGGUCAAAUCACGCUGAAACACCGGUUCUCGUAGGAUCACCGAAGUUAAGCAUCGUAGAGCCAGGUCAGUACUUAGAUAUGGGACCGCUUGGGAACACCUGGUACUGUAAG
rnacentral:rRNA from 1 species